rnacentral:rRNA from 1 species
GUGGAUUAGAUACCCUGGUAGUCCACGCUGUAAACGAUGGAUACUAGGUGUAGGCGGUCAUUUACCCCGUCUGUGCCGAAGCUAACGCGUUAAGUAUCCCGCCUGGGGAGUACGGCCGCAAGGUUAAAACUCAAACGGAAUUGACGGGGGCCCGCACAAGCAGCGGAGCGUGUGGUUUAAUUCGAUGAUACGCGAAGAACCUUACCUGGGUUUGACAUGUUGGUAGUAGUGAAGCGAAAGCGGAACGACCCUUCGGGGAGCCAUCACAGGUGCUGCACGGUCGUCGUCAACU